AGAAUCAAAGUUAGGGUUUCAAUUCUUCAUCCAAGUAGAGAGGAUCCCUCUAGUUCUUCUAGUUCUACCUCUAGUUCGUCUAGAUCUAGUUCUAGUUCAUCUAGUUCUAGUUCUAGUUCUAGUUCCUCUAGUUCUAGUUCUAGUUAGUUCUAGUUGUAAUAUAGAAAAUAGGGAGAGAGAAGAGGAGAGCGGAGGAGGAGCCGGAUCUGUCGGAUCUUCCUCAACAUUGUACUUUUGCAGCAACUGGUUCGUUCUUCAUUGUUCUCCAGGUUCUUCAAUUCAUAAUCCUGAGUUCUUUAAUUACUUUUAUUUACAUUCAAGUUAUUUAUUGGAUUCCUGCUUGCAUCAAGUGCCUGGCCCCGUUCGGCCUCCGCUUCCUUCCCGUGGCUUCUGGAGUAUUCUAGAUGUAAGAUAAUUGCGCGGCAUGUUGAUAUCUCUAUGUAAUCCCGACGUAUGGGCCUUUCUUCCGUAUUCCCUGAUAACCCCCCUGCAGAAAUAGACAAACACCAAAACUCAUGGAAUUCUGUCAGAUAAAACCCUAAGUCUAGAUGUUGAUUUCAUUUGGACCCUUUUCUUUGUUUAUUUGAUAAUUAAAUUUGAUACUUAAGGAUCGUCAACAGUCUCCUAAUUGGGAAGGUCCUUAUCGGAUAAAUUGGUCUGCUCCUGGCAAUGCUUAUAUUUUAUAAACUCUCGAGGGAGUUGAUUUUUCUAGAGCAUUAAAUGGAAAAUAUCUAAAGAAGUAUUACCCGAGCAUCUAGAUCGAUGCAUAAAAGUUCAAAUGCCGAUAACACUCCUAUCGGGUGGAUGAAAUGUAUCUAAGAUCAUGUAUGUUGUUUUAAAGUGUCGAUAGCAGUCCUAUCGGCUAGACCAGAAUGGUAAAAGUUUCUAAGGGCAGGGGUUGCCGAUGAAUAGUUCAUAGGUUCAGCAAACCUUGGAUAGUGGAUAUGGCGCGCAGUCGAAUUCGGUUGGCCUCUUCUAUCUCCCGGAUAUCCUGAUCGGCAGAACCCUCUACUAGUUUCAACUUCUUUUUCAUCUACAGUGCCUUAUGAGCCUGGAUGUUUCGUUCUUGCUGAAGAGUCUUGAGCAUCUCAGGUAGCUGGCUUUCUUCUUGCUGAGCUUGGGUCAGAGCCUCUUCUACUUAUUUGAGCUCAGCUAGCAGAGCUUCCCAUCUUGUCCAUAGAUCAGAAAUCUUUUGUUUCAGUGUAUCCCCUGAGGACUGCUGAAUGCCGAUGCUCUUAUGUUUCUCAUCGGCAAGGCGCUUUACUUGCAUUACUUCCUCUUUGAGUUGGGCAUAAGCAGCUCUAUCGGCAAGAUGCUGGGUAGCUUUCUAGUAUUGGAGCUGACGGCUUUCUAGAUGGGCAGCUUGGAAAAGAAUCUCUUCGGCAUCGGCUGGAAUUUGCCCGCGAAGGGUCUUAAACAAAGCUUUGGCUGGGUCAAAAUCAUCAACCAACUGGGCAGUAUCUUGAUGCAGUAGAGUCAACAGGUCUUCCAGCUUGGCUUUGAUUUCUGCCGAUGAGAUCCCUACUGCUUGAGAGGAGCUUGCUUCUUCGCCCUCAUCAUCGGAAAUAUUGAUGGCGAAGGAGAAUAAGCUGUCUGGGGAGUCUUGUUCUUGAAAGAGAAUAAGAAUAAGUUAUUUGAUUGUCAAAUAUUAGUGAUAUAAAGAAUAUAAAUCAGAUAACUUACUUGCUUCUGGGCAAUUUCGCGCCUCUGACUUGAAGAUGCAGUCGGCACUGUAGGCUGAUCAGCUAAAGUUGCCGAUGGGAUAAUAUCAACUGAGAAAUUACAAGGGUAAUUAUGAUUUGCAGAAAUAGAAGUCAUCGGUAUUAACGUUAUAAUCAGUACUUUACCUUGAGGGGGUGCAGUGCUUGUUUGUUCUGGAGGAACAACCGAUGAUAUACUCAAGUCAGCUGGAUCGGCAGUCUGCUCAGACAGAUCGGCUGGUGCUUCUUGUGGCUGAGGUGCUGGUCGAGGAGGGGACGGUACUUGCUGUGUCUGGAUUUCUGGUGAAGAGGGGGACGAUUCCACAUGAAUCGGCGACACUGGACGACGAGGAGAAGAUGUUGCUGUCCUCUGGCGCUUUGGUUGCGACUUAGUGCUCUUGGGACCUUUUCUCUUGGCUUGGCUAGGCUGGGGGGCAUCGGUACUUGUUUGGGCGCUUUUGAUCUUCACCGAUUUGCUAGUUUGCUUUUAUAACAGUCAAAGAUGUCAUAAAUAGAGACAUAAAAUAAUAUUAAUGAAAUCUUGUUGAAAAACAUAAAAAUUACCGAUGAAGUUCCCAUGGCAGUAGAUGUACCCUGAAAAGAUUAUAUGAGUCUGGGACAAAAUCGGUAUAAACAAAGGAAAUUAGGAGUUUACCUUGAAAGCCUGUGCCAAAGUGGCAGCAGCUAUCGAUGGGGAUGUCUUUGACCGUUUUGUGGUCGUCUUCUUGAAGCGCACGUUGCGAUGCGCCAGGGCUGCUAAGCUUGGAGCGUUAUGACCGAUGGGAGAGAUUGGACCUGAUGGAAGGAGUUCGAUCGGUCUUCCACUUCUGCUGAUUGUCGGGGCUCGGUUGUUGACCUGUUAAAACCAAAAAAAGAGUAAGCCACCGAUAGGGUCAGAAGUUACAAAGGAACUGAGAUAUCGGUCACAGACUUACAACAUUACCGGGAACCUUGUAGUUGGGGUCGAUCAUGCCACGGUAUACCAUAGCCGAUGUGUCGAACAAGUGUUCCUUCCACUCUUCCAACCAUUAUUUAUACAUCUGAGUAAUGAAAGGGGCUGGAACCCAUGCCGAUAGAUCGAUGUCUGACGUAUCGGCAUUUGGCUGAAGUUGAGCUAUCCUUAUCCACUCAAGUCCACUAGUUAUGGUCUCCCUUGGCUUCACCACAUUGGCAUAACAGAGUCUGAUCUGUAGCUGACCAAAAGCUAAUUGGCGAGCCAAUGCUGAUGGAUUGUAAAAUUCAUAAGUGCGACUAGAGUUUUUUCCGCUGCCAAAGGUGUUUACUAGGAUGGCUCUUGGAGUGAUAAUUUCCAUCAUUAAGUCAUUAUCCUCGUUGAGGGCAUCAUCAAAAGGUUGGAAGAUGAGUGGGAAUCUGGUCUCUGGAUCUUCAUAAGGCAUCCAUGCCCGCUGAUCCUUGGGAAGACCAUCAUAUAGAGUCUGGAAGAAUAGGCUAAUCUGGUCUUCGUUGCCACCAGUACCAGGUUGGACUAUAGUAGUCUCACCAUAGUUCAGGGAUGUUCGAGUUGCUGAUUCUUCAUCAGCCAGUUCAUGGUCUUCGGUGAUAUCUCUGGGGAAUUGUUGUGCAAAGAGGUCGAACAGGAGACAUUUAUACAUAUGAACGUUAAGCCACAUGUUGAUGAACCACCAAGGGCCUCCUAGGUUGCCGAUGGGUUGACCUAACAGAAGCUUCUCGGUCACUUGAUGAAGGGGUGAUAGGCAUAGCCGAGCAAAUAUCGCCCAAGAGGAAAUCGGCCGCCAUUGGCUAGUCUUUCGGCUGCCGAUAGGUAAACAGAGGUUGGUCCUACUGAUCGGCCACAGAAGACGAACUUGUCUAGCAACAUGUUCAGGAAAGUGGCGUGUUCCCUUUGCCCAACAGGUCCUGUCCUCUGGUAUUUUUGGAUGUAUCCUGACCAGCCGCCGAUGUUAUGAGUUUCUACUUUGCGCUCGGGUUUACGAUCGUAUAAAUGACUAUCAUCGGCAGAUUAUAUAUCUAAGCCAGUGAGCAUGAGCACAUCGGCAAGAGUGGGUGAAGCAGGGCCAUGGCCAAACAAGAAAGCAUUAAGGGUGUCUGACCAGAAGUAUGAAGCUGCUAUCAACAGUGAUUCAUUUCUUUCCAUAUCGGCAAUGGAUAGCCUGAUGCACUGGUCUAGCUUACGCUGACCCCAUUGGACUUCAUUUGAGUUGCGGAUUCUCAAGAACCAAUCUCUCCAUCCCUUAGAAGAACUGGGCUAGGAUCGAAAGGUGUCUUUCCACAGAUCUAAAGAGAAGUUCUCAUUUCUAAAAUGGAUCCUGUUCAUUUCCGCAUUGAUCAGAUCGAUAGGGUCCGGAUACCCAACGGCCCGAGACAUUGAAAGUGGGGUUGAUCAGUGGGAAUAACAAUUUUCUCGGCUAAUUCCUAAAGGUUUGAGUGUUGGAAAAACAGAGAAAAGAAAGAGAGAAAACACCAAGUAAAUAACCGUGCAAAAAAUCGAAAGUACGGUAAAAAGAAGAAAGGUGGUGCGGAAUUGACCUCAGGGACGACGAAGUUGACGGCCAUUUCUUCUUGAAGGGAGGAAGGGAUCGAGGGCUCGAAGAAUCAUUGGGGAAGAUCCUCACCAGAGUUCUUGAGAUCUCCAACGAUGCUGCCGCCAGGAGGAUAGGUUUGGAAGGUCUAGAAUGACAAAGUGGAGGAAGAGUGCCAAGGAAGGAAGUUUUUAUAUGGUACAGUGAGCAGGGGUAAUUCUGACUUAACUCUUUACCGUAUCCGUGAAAUCCGAGGGUGUUUAGGUAGAUAUGGUAACUGUCGGCAUGGUAAUCAAGGGAUUGUACAAAUGAUUUGACAGCGAGUGGUCACGAUUUUACGAGAUAUUUUACUAUGAAGGAUCUCCUAGUCGGUUCAUCAGCAGUCCAUUCUAACAAAAAUGUUGCCGAUGAACGUAUAUUUAGGAGAUUCGGUUCGAGAAGUUGAGAUAUUCGAGGUACAUGUUGGAGAACCAGACAGAAGGUUGUUUGGAUUUGAUAAUUAAUUACAGACAGAAGGGAGUGAUCGCGGAAAGGCAUCGUUACUGACAAGAAUUUUGCAACAUUAAUGAUUUUAUACUCCGAAAUUGGGGGGCAUGUGUUGACACCGUUUUUGGACACGUAUCUUUGGACGCAUAUCUGGGAGUUAAUGAAGUAUAGAUCUGCAGGCGAAAAGUGGUGACUGGUUGACAGAAGAGCUGCCGAUGAGGAUUGAUACCAAUGAUGAAACGAUAGAAUGUGGUCAAUUCUAGGAGUGGUGAUGGAUCUAUGCCGAUGACUGAUACUGGUGGUUGCCGAUGGCUAUGAAAGGUGAUUUGCCGAUGAUCACAAAAGGAGUCGCAGGAAUUGUCGAUAGGGUGGUGAUGGUGUGCCGAUCAGUUGUGGUGGAUAAAUUAAUAUUUUCCAUAGUUAUUAGAGUUUGUUUUACAUACGGAUUUCGUUCAAUUUGGAAUUCGAGUCCUAGUUGGGUCUGAUUGUAACUCUUUUGGAUAGGGUAUAAAUGUAGACCCCGUAGAAUUGUGAGAACAACACAAUCAAUCAAAUACAAGUCUUUACAUCUAUUCUAGCAUCUACUUUUUUGACGACUUCGUCAACUUGUAUAUUUUCUUUUUACUUACGAGUUCUUAGGAAUUCAUCGAGUCAACCUCGACGAGUUCUCAAGUUCCGCGUGAAUACCUCUUGGCCGUGGCAUCUAGGCGUAUCGCUGUUAUCGGGACCAAAGUAUUCGAGUUGUCACCUUUGUCGAUUGUAAGGUCAAAUCGGCUCUCACGCCUUAACAUCAAAUUGGGUAUUAGCCUUUUUGUUUGCAGAUCCACUUUUGCAUCAACAAGGUC
rnacentral:lncRNA from 1 species